UACGAAGGGGGCUAGCGUUGCUCGGAAUUACUGGGCGUAAAGGGAGCGUAGGCGGAUAGUUCAGUCAGAGGUGAAAGCCCAGGGCUCAACCUUGGAACUGCCUUUGAUACAGCACGUCUUGAGUCCGAUAGAGGUGGGUGGAAUUCCUAGUGUAAAGGUGAAAUUCGUAGAUAUUAGGAAGAACACCAGUGGCGAAGGCGGCUCACUGGCCCGGUACUGACGCUGAGGCGCGAAAGCGUGGGGAGCAAACAGGG
rnacentral:rRNA from 1 species